rnacentral:rRNA from 1 species
AGUGAACGCUGGCGGCAGGCCUAACACAUGCAAGUCGAACGGCAGCACAGAGGAGCUUGCUCCUUGGGUGACGAGUGGCGGACGGGUGAGGAAUACGUCGGAAUCUGCCUAUUUGUGGGGGAUAACGUAGGGAAACUUACGCUAAUACCGCAUACGACCUACGGGUGAAAGCGGAGGACCUUCGGGCUUCGCGCAGAUAGAUGAGCCGACGUCGGAUUAGCUAGUUGGCGGGGUAAAGGCCCACCAAGGCGACGAUCCGUAGCUGGUCUGAGAGGAUGAUCAGCCACACUGGAACUGAGACACGGUCCAGACUCCUACGGGAGGCAGCAGUGGGGAAUAUUGGACAAUGGGCGCAAGCCUGAUCCAGCCAUGCCGCGUGUGUGAAGAAGGCCUUCGGGUCGUAAAGCACUUUUGUCCGGAAAGAAAAGCUUCGGGUUAAUACCCCGGGGUCCUGACGGUACCGGAAGAAUAAGCACCGGCUAACUUCGUGCCAGCAGCCGCGGUAAUACGAAGGGUGCAAGCGUUACUCGGAAUUACUGGGCGUAAAGCGUGCGUAGGUGGUUUGUUAAGUCUGAUGUGAAAGCCCUGGGCUCAACCUGGGAAUUGCAUUGGAUACUGGCAGGCUAGAGUGCGGUAGAGGAUGGCGGAAUUCCCGGUGUAGCAGUGAAAUGCGUAGAGAUCGGGAGGAACAUCUGUGGCGAAGCGGCCAUCUGGACCAGCACUGACACUGAGCACGAAAGCGUGGGGAGCAACAGGAUUAGAUACCCUGGUAGUCCACGCCCUAACGAUGCGAACUGGAUGUUGGGAGCAUUAGCUCUCAGUAUCGAAGCUAACGCGUUAAGUUCGCCGCUGGGGAGUACGGUCGCAGA